rfam:Nematostella vectensis strain CH2 x CH6 NEMVEscaffold_412_Cont26519, whole genome shotgun sequence.
GCCAUGCUGACGAGUCCUAAUAAGGACGAAACAGCUGUCCAUGGU